GAUGAACGCUAGCGAUAGGCUUAACACAUGCAAGUCGAGGGGCAGCAUAGGUACAGUUUACUGUAUUUGAUGGCGACCGGCGCACGGGUGAGUAACGCGUAUGCAAUCUACCUUUUACAAAGGGAUAGCCCGGAGAAAUUCGGAUUAAUACCUUAUAGUAAUUUAAAGUCGCCUGAUUUUAGAUUUAAAGAUUUAUCGGUAAGAGAUGAGCAUGCGUUCCAUUAGUUAGUUGGUAAGGUAACGGCUUACCAAGGCAGCGAUGGAUAGGGGAACUGAGAGGUUUAUCCCCCACACUGGAACUGAGACACGGACCAGACUCCUACGGGAGGCAGCAGUGAGGAAUAUUGGUCAAUGGACGAGAGUCUGAACCAGCCAAGUCGCGUGAAGGAUGACUGCCCUAUGGGUUGUAAACUUCUUUUAUGUGGGAAAUAAAAGAUAUCACGUGUGAUAUAUUGCAUGUACCAUAUGAAUAAGCAUCGGCUAACUCCGUGCCAGCCGCC
rnacentral:rRNA from 1 species